rnacentral:rRNA from 1 species
GUCCACGCCGUAAACGAUGGAUGCUAGCCGUUGGCUAGCUUGCUCGUCAGUGGCGCAGCUAACGCUUUAAGCAUCCCGCCUGGGGAGUACGGUCGCAAGAUUAAAACUCAAAGGAAUUGACGGGGGCCCCGCACAAGCGGUGGAGCAUGUGGUUCAAUUCGAAGCAACGCGAAGAACCUUACCAGCCCUUGACAUGUCCUCUAUGGAUUCCAGAGACGGAAUCCUUCACUUCGGGUGGGAGGAACACAGGUGCUGCAUGGCUGUCGU